UACACCACCGGGGGCUGGGGGGCGUCGAUCAGCCCCCAGGGACAAUGCCAUUUGCCAGCUGCCUCCAGGAGGCGGCCAGCCCGGGCAGGGGCUCUCCCCGGCCACUCACCAUGAUGGAGAAGACGAAGGCCACGAUGUUGAUGGGGUACGCGGGGCAGAAGCAGGAGAAGAUGCUGAGGACCAGCAGCCUUCUUCAAUUGUAGAAUCAAGAAUGGAACACAGGAUUCCAGCAGCUAUCUCCCCAGUGCCAAAUACAGAGCGUCGCACUGGGAGUUCAUGUUCAGCUAACUAUCCUCCAUGCCCCUCCAAAUAUUUUUCAGAGGCACUGCUUCCCAGGAUCAAGUUCCCCAUCGUGGAUCCAACGUGAGUGCCCCGGCUGAGUACCACGGCUGCAGUAUGGCCCGGGGACCGAGG